rnacentral:rRNA from 1 species
CAAUAGCGUAUAUUAAAGCUGUUGCGGUUAAAAAGCUCGUAGUUGGAUUUCUGUCAAGGACAACUGGUCCGCCCUCCGGGUGAGCACAUAGUUUGGUCUUGACAUCUUGCUGGAAGCUGUUGCUGCACUUGGCUGUGUGGCGCAGUGUUCAGCACUUUCACUUUGAGGAAAUUGGAGUGUUUCAAGCAGGCACAUGCCUUUGGACACAGUAGCAUGGAAUAAUUAGAUUGGACUUUUGCUCCAAUUUGUCGGUUUCUGGAGCUGAGGUGAGUAUUAAUGGGGAUUGUUGGGGGCAUCCGAAUUUAGCCGUCAGAGGUGAAAUUCUUGGAUCUGCUAAAGACGGACAACUGCGAAAGCGUUUGCCCAGGAUGUUUUCAUUGA